UCAGCCCUGUUAGAGAAGUGCUGAUUAUGGGUCAGUAGCUGCUGGCCCCGCCCCCUUUGGAGCAUGCAUGCAAGAUCUGAGCUGCAGAGAGAUAAGUGGCUGACUGCUCAGA